UACGUAGGGCGCGAGCGUUGUCCGGAAUUAUUGGGCGUAAAGAGCUCGUAGGCGGCCUGUCGCGUCGGUUGUGAAAGCCCGGGGCUCAACCCCGGGUCUGCAGUCGAUACGGGCAGGCUAGAGUUCGGUAGGGGAGAGUCGGAAUUCCUGGUGUAGCGGUGAAAUGCGCAGAUAUCAGGAGGAACACCGGUGGCGAAGGCGGAUCUCUGGGCCGAUACUGACGCUGAGGAGCGAAAGCGUGGGGAGCGAACAGG
rnacentral:rRNA from 1 species